rnacentral:rRNA from 1 species
GUGCCAGCAGCCGCGGUAAUACGUAGGGUGCGAGCGUUGUCCGGAAUUAUUGGGCGUAAAGAGCUCGUAGGCGGUGUGUCGCGUCGGCCGUGAAAACCUGGGGCUUAACUCUGGGCGUGCGGUCGAUACGGGCAUCAUUUGAGUUCGGCAGGGGAGACUGGAAUUCCUGGUGUAGCGGUGAAAUGCGCAGAUAUCAGGAGGAACACCGGUGGCGAAGGCGGGUCUCUGGGCCGAUACUGACGCUGAGGAGCGAAAGCAUGGGUAGCGAACAGGAUUAGAUACCCUGGUAGUCCAUGCCGUAAACGUUGGGCGCUAGGUGUGGGGUCCAUUCCACGGGUUCCGUGCCGCAGCUAACGCAUUAAGCGCCCCGCCUGGGGAGUACGGCCGCAAGGCUAAAACUCAAAGGAAUUGGCGGGGGCCCGCACAAGCGGCGGAGCAUGUGGAUUAAUUCGAUGCAACGCGAAGAACCUUACCUGGGUUUGACAUGCACUAGACGCGGCCAGAGAUGGUCGUUCCCUUGUGGCUGGUGUGCAGGUGGUGCAUGGCUGUCGUCAGCUCGUGUCGUGAGAUGUUGGGUUAAGUCCCGCAACGAGCGCAACCC